UACGGAGGGAGCUAGCGUUGUUCGGAAUUACUGGGCGUAAAGCGCACGUAGGCGGCUUUGUAAGUUAGAGGUGAAAGCCUGGGGCUCAACCCCAGAAUUGCCUUUAAGACUGCAUCGCUUGAAUCCGGGAGAGGUGAGUGGAAUUCCGAGUGUAGAGGUGAAAUUCGUAGAUAUUCGGAAGAACACCAGUGGCGAAGGCGGCUCACUGGACCGGUUCUGACGCUGAGGCGCGAAAGCGUGGGGAGCAAACGGGG
rnacentral:rRNA from 1 species